UGGGGAAUCUUGCACAAUGGGCGCAAGCCUGAUGCAGCAACGCCGCGUGCGGGAAGAAGGCCCUAGGGUUGUAAACCGCUUUCAGCAGGGAAGAAAAUGACGGUACCUGUAGAAGAAGGUGCGGCCAACUACGUGCCAGCAGCCGCGGUGACACGUAGGCACCAAGCGUUGUCCGGAUUUAUUGGGCGUAAAGAGCUUGUAGGCGGUUCGGUUAGUCGGGUGUGAAACCUCUGGGCUCAACUCAGAGACGCCACCCGAUACUGCUGUGACUAGAGUGCGGUAGGGGAGCGGGGAAUUCCUGGUGUAGCGGUGAAAUGCGCAGAUAUCAGGAGGAACACCAGUGGCGAAGGCGCCGCUCUGGGCCGUAACUGACGCUGAGAAGCGAAAGCGUGGGGAGCAAACAGGAUUAGAUACCCUGGUAGUCCACGCCGUAAACGUUGGGCACUAGGUGUGGGUCUCAACCAACGAGAUCCGCGCCGUCGCUAACGCAUUAAG
rnacentral:rRNA from 1 species